rnacentral:rRNA from 1 species
AGUGAACGCUGGCGGUAGGCCUAACACAUGCAAGUCGAACGGCAGCACAGUAAGAGCUUGCUCUUACGGGUGGCGAGUGGCGGACGGGUGAGGAAUACAUCGGAAUCUACUUUUUCGUGGGGGAUAACGUAGGGAAACUUACGCUAAUACCGCAUACGACCUACGGGUGAAAGCAGGGGAUCUUCGGACCUUGCGCGAUUGAAUGAGCCGAUGUCGGAUUAGCUAGUUGGCGAGGUAAAGGCCCACCAAGGCGACGAUCCGUAGCUGGCCUGAGAGGAUGAUCGGCCACACUGGAACUGAGACACGGUCCAGACUCCUACGGGAGGCAGCAGUAGGGAAUCUUGCGCAAUGGGCGAAAGCCUGACGGAGCAACGCCGCGUGAGUGAUGAAGGUCUUCGGAUCGUAAAACUCUGUUAUUAGGAAAGAAAAAAUGUGUAAGUAACUAUGCACGUCUUGACGGUACCUAAUCAGAAAGCCACGGCUAACUACGUG